GACGAACGCUGGCGGCGUGCUUAACACAUGCAAGUCGAACGGAAAGGCCCUGCUUUUGCGGGGUGCUCGAGUGGCGAACGGGUGAGUAACACGUGAGUAACCUGCCCUUGACUUUGGGAUAACUUCAGGAAACUGGGGCUAAUACCGGAUAGGAGCUCCUGCUGCAUGGUGGGGGUUGGAAAGUUUCGGCGGUUGGGGAUGGACUCGCGGCUUAUCAGCUUGUUGGUGGGGUAGUGGCUUACCAAGGCUUUGACGGGUAGCCGGCCUGAGAGGGUGACCGGCCACAUUGGGACUGAGAUGCGGCCCAGACUACUACGGGAGGCAGCAGUGGGGAAUAUUGCACGAUGGGCGGAAGCCUGAUGCAGCAACGCCGCGUGCGGGAUGACGGCCUUCGGGUUGUAAACCGCUUUCGCCUGUGACGAAGCGUGAGUGACGGUAAUGGGUAAAGAAGCACCGGCUAACUACGUG
rnacentral:rRNA from 1 species